UAGGGAAUCUUCCGCAAUGGACGCAAGUCUGACGGAGCAACGCCGCGUGAGUGAAGAAGGAUUUCGGUUCGUAAAACUCUGUUGUUAGAGAAGAACAGCGCAUAGAGUAACUGUUAUGCGUGUGACGGUAUCUAACCAGAAAGCCACGGCUAACUACGUGCCAGCAGCCGCGGUAAUACGUAGGUGGCAAGCGUUGUCCGGAUUUAUUGGGCGUAAAGCGAGCGCAGGCGGUCAAUUAAGUCUGAUGUGAAAGCCCCCGGCUCAACCGGGGAGGGUCAUUGGAAACUGGUUGACUUGAGUGCAGAAGAGGAGAGUGGAAUUCCAUGUGUAGCGGUGAAAUGCGUAGAUAUAUGGAGGAACACCAGUGGCGAAGGCGACUCUCUGGUCUGUAACUGACGCUGAGGUUCGAAAGCGUGGGUAGCAAACAUG
rnacentral:rRNA from 1 species